rnacentral:rRNA from 1 species
AGUGAACGCUGGCGGUAGGCCUAACACAUGCAAGUCGAACGGCAGCACAGUAAGAGCUUGCUCUUACGGGUGGCGAGUGGCGGACGGGUGAGGAAUACAUCGGAAUCUACUUUUUCGUGGGGGAUAACGUAGGGAAACUUACGCUACUACCGCAUAUGAUCUACGGGUUAAAGCAGGGGUUCUUCGGACCUUGCGCGAUUGAAUGAGCCGAUGUCGGAUUAGCUAGUUGGCGGGGUAAAGGCCCACCAAGGCGACGCUCCGUAGCUGGUCUGAGAGGAUGAUCAGCCACACUGGAACUGAGACACGGUCCAGACUCCUACGGGAGGCAGCAGUGGGGAAAAUUGGACAAUGGGCGCAAGCCUGAUCCAGCCAUACCGCGUGGGUGAAGAAGGCCUUCGGGUCGUAAAGCCCUUUUGUUGGGAAAGAAAAGCAGCAGGUUAAUACCCCGCUGUUCUGACGGUACCCAAAGAAUAAGCACCGGCUAACUUCGUG